rnacentral:rRNA from 1 species
CCGCCGAAGCGCUCUGUGAACCCUGAUGAAGAUGGGCUGUCUGAGUACUAUGAAAAUUGUCAAAACUUUCAACAAUGGAUCUCUUGGUUCCGGCAUCGAUGAAGAACGCAGCGAAAUGCGAUAAGUAAUGUGAAUUGCAGAAUUCCGUGAAUCAUCGAAUCUUUGAACGCACAUUGCGCCCCCUGGCAUUCCGGGGGGCAUGCCUGUCCGAGCGUCAUUUCUGCCCUCAAGCACGGCUUGUGUGUUGGGUGCGGUCCCCCCGGGGACCUGCCCGAAAGGCAGCGGCGACGUCCGUCUGGUCCUCGAGCGUAUGGGGCUUUGUCACUCGCUCGGGAAGGACUGGCGGGGGUUGGUCACCAC